rnacentral:rRNA from 1 species
UACGUAGGGUGCGAGCGUUGUCCGGAAUUAUUGGGCGUAAAGGGCUCGUAGGCGGUUUGUCGCGUCGGGAGUGAAAACCCAGGGCUUAACCCUGGGCUGGCUUCCGAUACGGGCAGACUAGAGGUAUGCAGGGGAGAACGGAAUUCCUGGUGUAGCGGUGAAAUGCGCAGAUAUUGGGAGGAACACCAGUGGCGAAGGCGGCACUCUGGGCCAGUACUGACACUGAGGAGCGAAAGCCAGGGGAGCAAACGGG